rnacentral:rRNA from 1 species
UACGUAGGGUGCGAGCGUUAAUCGGAAUUACUGGGCGUAAAGUGUGCGCAGGCGGCGCCGCAAGUCGAGUGUGAAAGCCCCGGGCUUAACUUGGGAAUUGCGCUCGAAACUAUGGUGCUGGAGUGUGGCAGAGGAAGGUGGAACUCCACGUGUAGCGGUGAAAUGCGUAGAGAUGUGGAGGAACACCGAUGGCGAAGGCAGCCUUCUGGGCCAACACUGACGCUCAUGACACGAAAGCGUGGGGAGCAAACAGG